GGAGAUGUACCCAAGUGGCUGAAGGGUCCGCACUCGAAAUGCGGUAGGUCGGUUUACCGGCGCGAGGGUUCAAAUCCCUCCAUCUCCG
rnacentral:tRNA from 1 species